GAAAACAACAGCACAGCUGUGACUGAUCAGAUGACCACACAUGCUUCAAAAACCGGUGAACCGAAUGAUUUAAUGUAUGGCAGUGUCUCUCACAAGAAACCCAGAAACCAGCAGAGAGCUGGAGAUGAAGACGAGGUUCAGUACGCCAGCGUCCAGCACCACAGAAACACCAGGAACGUGACUGUGGAGGACGGAUGUCAGUAUGGAGAUGUGAGAGAUCACCGUCCAGCUGUUUCUGCGGGAUCAAAUGCUGAAAGUGCGGAUGAUUCCUCUGUGAUUUACAGCAGCAUUAAAGUUGCAUGAAGAAUUGUAGCAUGUGACCACUGAACAUGCUCCUCCCUUUUCCUCCAUUGAAGUAGGCAUGAAAUAGAAGUUGCAACUAAAAAGUGAUUCCGCUUAACAAACAAGGCUUUAUUUUAACCAUUGGAUAUAAAUGGAUGGAUGGUUCACAGUAAGAUGCAUUAAGAAACAAGUAUAGGGUCAAUUUUAAUUUUUCAUUUGUGUCUAAAUGUGCUUGUGUGACCGUGUGCAGUGACUUUAAAUACAAACAUUUGUGUGAGAAACAGGAAGUGUAACUAAAAGCUGUAAGCAAGCCUAAGCAAAAUAUCGAUUUCUGAAAGGAGGAAAGGCUUCAUUACACUGAAUAAACUGCUUUUGUGAGGAACCUUAAGUUAACUAUUUAAUGAAUCAAAAUCCUAUCAGCUAAUCUUUGCCAUUAUAUGUUCGUUUUUUUCUCAAAGCAAACAUGUUUCACAUAUUCUCACACAAAUUUUUAACAAUAGUGGGGAUGAUGCUUUUAUUUGCCUUUAAAGGAUGCAUGCAUGUUUUUGAGCUCUUCGUGUGUUGUUUGAAACUCUAUAUUGUAUAUAUUUCUAAAGUCGAAUUGACUUGUUGAGAAGAGGGUGCAAAUACAGAGAAAGAGGAAGGCCGGCGUUCAUUUUAGAUGUGAUACUCAUUAACAGUUCAGCAGUUUAACACUUCCCGUCAUGCCGCUGUUAUCAUUUGUCAUCUGUGGCCAUUCACUGUGAGACUGAGAGUUUAUACUGUGUUAUAACUGUGUAGAAAGGAUUGAGUAAACAAUAAAAUAAAGUAUAUUGUGUGUUUGGUGAA